CCCUUAGAUGCUCUGGGCGGCCCGCGCACUACAAUGGCGUGUGCAGCGAGUGCCGAAGUAGAGUUUUCCGAGGUAUUCUUGCAAUGCUCGUUUUGAUGGGGAUAGACCCUUGCAACUGUUGGUUUUGAACGAGGAAUUCCUUGUAAGCAUGGUUUAUCAUCCGACGCUGAAUGCGUCCCUGCCCUUUGUACACACCGCCCGUCGCUCCUACCGAUGAGUCGUCCGGUGAAGUUCGUAGACCUCGUGAUCGCGGAUCACUGGGGGAAGCAAAAUGAACCUCGCGGUUUAGAGGAAGGAGAAGUCGUAACA
rnacentral:rRNA from 1 species